CGAAAGAACGCAACUAGAUAUCCAAGUUGCAAAAUUUCAACUAGCUUAAUUAAACUAGAACACCCCGCCUCGUUAGAAUUCAGGCGUUUGAGUCAAUUUUGCAACCUAGGAAUGAAGUUACGUUAUUUCGUCCGGGAAACGACAAGAUCAACGACGGGGACGUCUGCCGCGUGACGUUGCGUGACAAACGUCCGGGACCGAAAAAGCGUACACGCGUCAGCGAUUUUGAACCGCACGUCUGGGCCAUACGUGCAAUUUACCUUCCCUAAGGAAAGAGAAAAGCUGGAAGAUCUGCAGGGGAUAAGUGCAAUUUGAGCGUGCCCAUGUUGAAGACGAACCGACGAAAAUGAGAGAACGCAUAUUCAUCCUGAUCUUCAUCUCUUUAGCAGCACUGUAUUUUUAUCCAUGUUCUACAGUCUCAUGGAAGUUACGGCACUGGAAGGGACUGCUCAUGUUCUCCAAGGACAAAUGUGAAAACAGGUGCAAAUUUAAACCCGGGUAUUUCAGGGACGACCUUCGCCAGUACCAGAUCGCUUCUAAGGCCACGCGAAGGAUCGUCCCCGGAAACAGUCAGUGCAUGGUGUCAAAGGAGCUUAAAGAUCACAUUACCAAACACCACGGCAAGAAGGUGGCCAAGAGAUACGGGCUUCUCAACUUCUUCGGGAGAACGAAGAAAGGCCGGACGAACUGCAGAAUCUAGGAAUGGUGUUCAUCACUUACGAACAACUAAAUGAGAUCGCGAAGAAGAGGGCUGCUGAGGAGAAACUGCAAGCGGCUCAGAAAGCCGCCGACCAAGAGAAGCUGUUUGCGGCUAAAAAAGCCGCUUUAACCAAAACAGCCAGCGGGGCCAGCGGGACUCCCUCCCAGAAGGACAGUGCAUCCGGCUUCGGAGAUGUUCUAAAUAAUCUGCAGUACGCGGAAGGGGUGGUCUUCAAAUCGCAAGCAGAAUUAGCUCGGGAGUUCGAAGAGCAAAUUCGUCAAUUCAAGGAAAGCGAGGAAGCCAAGAAGAGACAACUCUAGCACCCUGGGGCAAUGUAGGAGUACUCCCGUGAUAGCGAAGAGAGUACUGCCGUGCUAAGGAAAAACGCCGUAAGAACCUUCAGCCGUCGCUAAAUUUCCUUUGGUCGAACACACAUUUCCUGGUAAAAUGAUGGAUAUUUUCCUGCCAAUUUUUUAGAUAAUUUUGUUCGCAAUCCCACCUUAAGUUCCUGAACAUUACAACGAAAAAUAUUCAUAAUUUUUCUAAAAAAUAAAAAUUUUAUCGGAGGAAAUUUGACAGCUCCCACAUGUUCAUGCGGCGUUCUUCCUUAGCACGACAGAUUAAGUGUCAACUUUUCGAAAUCGAGUUUCCCUCCUCGAGGUCUCCUUCAAAAUUCGUCUAAUUUCUUUUAAAUGGAUUCACUGAAAUAGCGAUAACUGCAAGAUUCAUCUUAUGAGCCAUUCGAGAAAGCCGUAAGUACGCAAAAAAUGACGUAGUUUUAGGCAGGACAGCAGUAAGUGACAAUAUUCCUCUACGGUACCAAUGAAAACAGUGCUUUCAAGUAAAGUGCCGCCCUCUCCUGCCAAUUUCUAACCUGCAAAUGUGUUUGUUGUGUGUCCAAAACGCAACCACGAAAGCAUACAGAAGAUAGCACUUACGGCUGUCUUGCCUAACAAAAGCCUAGCAAGAAAAUUAAAAAUACUUUUUUUUAUGUAAUAUUGAAAUAAAGACAGUCGAUUUUUAGUC
rnacentral:lncRNA from 1 species